rnacentral:rRNA from 1 species
CGAGUGCUUGCACUCACCGAUAAAGAGUUGAGUGGCGAACGGGUGAGUAACACGUGGGCAACCUGCCCAAAAGAGGGGGAUAACACUUGGAAACAGGUGCUAAUACCGCAUAACCAUAGUUACCGCAUGGUAACUAUGUAAAAGGUGGCUAUGCUACCGCUUUUGGAUGGGCCCGCGACGCAUUAGCUAGUUGGUGGGGUAAAGGCUUACCAAGGCAAUGAUGCGUAGCCGAACUGAGAGGUUGAUCGGCCACAUUGGGACUGAGACACGGCCCAAACUCCUACGGGAGGCAGCAGUAGGGAAUCUUCCACAAUGGGCGAAAGCCUGAUGGAGCAACGCCGCGUGGGUGAAGAAGGUCUUCGGAUCGUAAAACCCUGUUGUUAGAGAAGAAAGUGCGUGAGAGUAACUGUUCACGUUUCGACGGUAUCUAACCAGAAAGCCACGGCUAACUACGUGCCAGCAGCCGCGGUAAUACGUAGGUGGCAAGCGUUAUCCGGAUUUAUUGGGCGUAAAGAGAACGCAGGCGGUCUUUUAAGUCUGAUGUGAAAGCCUUCGGCUUAACCGGAGUAGUGCAUUGGAAACUGGGAGACUUGAGUGCAGAAGAGGAGAGUGGAACUCCAUGUGUAGCGGUGAAAUGCGUAGAUAUAUGGAAGAACACCAGUGGCGAAAGCGGCUCUCUGGUCUGUAACUGACGCUGAGGUUCGAAAGCGUGGGUAGCAAACAGGAUUAGAUACCCUGGUAGUCCACGCCGUAAACGAUGAAUGCUAAGUG